rnacentral:rRNA from 1 species
CACGUAGGGGGCAAGCGUUGUCCGGAUUUAUUGGGCGUAAAGAGCUCGUAGGCGGCUAAGUAAGUCGGGUGUUAAAUCCCCAGGCUCAACCUGGGACACCACCCGAUACUGCUUUGGCUAGAGUCCGGUAGGGGAGCGUGGAAUUCCUGGUGUAGCGGUGAAAUGCGCAGAUAUCAGGAGGAACACCAGCGGCGAAGGCGGCGCUCUGGGCCGAUACUGACGCUGAGGAGCGAAAGCGUGGGGAGCGAACAGG